AGAAAGGGGUUCCUAUCAAGAGCUGUGGGCAUUUCCUCCACCAGAUCCGCUCCUUCUUGGCUCGCUCGACCGGACCCUGCAGAGAAAGAGGAGGAGAUUCUUCUUCUAAAGGAGAGUGAACAACAGCCUCGCCCCCACGUCCCCCCCCCCCGGGAACCAGGCGGCAAAUUCUCCUCAGCCCAGCUGAGCAGUGUGUGCUUCCUACUCAAAAAACAGCUGGAUGUAUUCGGGAAGGCUGGAUGGUUCUCCAAAUCAGCUCAGAAUGAUUCUCCUUUUUUGCUCCUCUAAAGACUCUUAACAUUUUUAUUUUCCUUGCACCAGCCCUGCAAACGGAUUCCCUUACCAACUCAUGGAUAUUUUGGGUGUGAGGUGCGCGGGGGGGUUCAAAGGCUGCCCCACGUAUAGCGCAUUGCAGGAGUCCAGUCUAGUUGUUACUAGUGCAUGAGUGACUGCUGCCAGGCUCCGCUCAUCCAGGUAAGGGCGAAGUUGAUAUAUUCUCUGCAGCGGGCGGGGGGCGGGGGGGGGGGGGGGAGAAAAAAGCACCGCUUGUAAAUGAAAACGUUGGUCACCUCCCUCUCAUGUGGAAUCUAAAAAUCUUGUUUUGUUUUUGUUUUUGUUUUGCUGUGCUUUCAGGCAUCACCUGAAGCCCACUUAAAAACAACAGCAAGACACCGUCAUCUGCUUUAGCGCCAAGCCUUUGACCAUCUUGGCCCCGCGAGGAGUCGUCCCAGAACUCAAGGGCUUACUCUGCUGCUGUUCGCAGCUUUUUCCUCCUCGUCUUGCCCAACGCAGAACCGAAUUGUUUUGGCGAGGAGAGCAGCCGAUUCCGCCUGGAUCCCUUCUCUCAUCCCUGGCAGUCAAAUCAGAACAAAAGUCAAUAAAUCACCCUUUGCUGGCAUUUUACAACUGUUUUCCCCCCCCCUCCCCAAAAUCUUCUGCCUGAGAUGCCGGCCUCCCCUUUUCCUCGCCGGCAAAUUUGGAAAGCGUUCCCUGCAUCUCUCAUCAAAAUCGUUAACAAAAAUUGGUGGGUU
rnacentral:lncRNA from 1 species